rnacentral:misc_RNA from 1 species
AAUAAGGAUUCAUUGUGGUGGAGGGACCUAAAGAUAAUUUUUCAAGCCUCACAACAGGGCGAGCAGCUCAAAAAAGGGAUCAUGUGGAGGGUGGGGAGAGGGGACAGGUUUAAAUUCUGGGAAGACGAGUGGAUACAAGGAGAGGCCUCAUUAAUCACAAAGUAUCCAAGACUGUUUGUAGUCUCCCAACAACAGAACCAGACAAUCCAGCAGUUGGGAGAUUUUAAGGACAAUGAAUGGGAGUGGAACUUGUCAUGGAGGAGGCCAUUGUUUGACAAUGAGAUAAUAAUGGCUUCAAAUUUCCUAAGGGACAUUGAGAGGAACACAAUACAGUGAAACAGAAGGGAUGAGUGGGUGUGGAAG